UACGUAGGUGGCAAGCGUUGUCCGGAUUUAUUGGGUUUAAAGGGUGCGUAGGUGGCCCUGUAAGUCAGUGGUGAAAUAUCUCAGCUUAACUGAGAGGGUGCCAUUGAUACUGCAGGGCUUGAGUACAGAUGAGGUAGGCGGAAUUGACGGUGUAGCGGUGAAAUGCAUAGAUAUCGUCAAGAACACCGAUAGCGAAGGCAGCUUACCAAGCUGUAACUGACACUGAGGCACGAAAGUGUGGGGAGCAAACAGG
rnacentral:rRNA from 1 species